AGCGAACGCUGGCGGCAGGCUUAACACAUGCAAGUCGAGCGGGCGUAGCAAUACGUCAGCGGCAGACGGGUGAGUAACGCGUGGGAACGUACCUUUUGGUUCGGAACAACACAGGGAAACUUGUGCUAAUAACGGAUAAGCUCUUACGGGGAAAGAUUUAUCGCCGAAAGAUCGGCCCGCGUCUGAUUAGCUUGUUGGUGAGGUAACGGCUCACGAAGGGGACGAUCAGUAGCUGGUCUGAGAGGAUGAUCAGCCACAUUGGGACUGAGACACGGCCCAAUCGCCUACGGGAUGCAGCGGUGGGGAAUAUUGGACAAUGGGCGCAAACCUGUUCCAGCCAUGCCGCGUGAGUGAUGAAGGCCCUAGGGUUGUAAAGCUCUUUUAACGGGGAAGAUAAUGACGGUACCCGUAGAAUAAGCCCCGGCUAACUUCGUGCCAGCCGCCGCCGUAA
rnacentral:rRNA from 1 species